UACGUAGGGGGCUAGCGUUGUCCGGAUUUAUUGGGCGUAAAGAGCGUGUAGGCGGCCAUGUAGGUCCGGUGUGAAAACUCGAGGCUUAACCUCGAGAUGUCAUCGGAAACCAUUUGGCUAGAGUCCGGGAAGAGGAGAGUGGAAUUCCUGGUGUAGCGGUGAAAUGCGCAGAUAUCAGGAAGAACACCAAUGGCGAAAGCAGCUCUCUGGGACGGUACUGACGCUGAGACGCGAAAGCCGUGGGGAGCGAAGCAGG
rnacentral:rRNA from 1 species